rnacentral:rRNA from 1 species
AACGAACGCUGGCGGCAGGCCUAACACAUGCAAGUCGAGCGCCCCGCAAGGGGAGCGGCGGACGGGUGAGUAACGCGUGGGAACGUGCCUCUUGCUACGGAAUAGCCUCAGGAAACUGGGAGUAAUACCGUAUGUGCCCUACGGGGGAAAGAUUUAUCGGCAAGAGAUCGGCCCGCGUUGGAUUAGGUAGUUGGUGGGGUAAUGGCCUACCAAGCCGACGAUCCAUAGCUGGUUUGAGAGGAUGAUCAGCCACACUGGGACUGAGACACGGCCCAGACUCCUACGGGAGGCAGCAGUGGGGAAUCUUAGACAAUGGGCGCAAGCCUGAUCUAGCCAUGCCGCGUGAUCGAUGAAGGCCUUAGGGUUGUAAAGAUCUUUCGUGGGGGAAGAUAAUGACUGUACCCCAAGAAGAAGCCCCGGCUAACUCCGUGCCAGCCGCCGCAGUAA